GGGCCGUGGUAUACUGACCAUGCGAAGGUAGCAUAAUCAUUAGCCUUUUGAUUUGAGGCUGGAAUGAAUGGUUUGACGAGAGAUGGUCUGUCUCUUCGAUUAAAUUGAAGUUAAUCUUUAAGUGAAAAAGCUUAAAUGUACUUGGAGGGCGAUAAGACCCUAUAGAUCUUUACAUUUAAUUCUUUUGUCUUGCGGUAGGUAAUUAGACAGAGUAAAACAAUGUUCGGUUGGGGCGACGGUAAGAACAGAAUAAACACUUACAACAUAAACACAUCAAUAAAUGACCAUUGAUCCUUAGAUGAAUAAAGACCAAGUUACCUUAGGGAUAACAGCGUAAUUCUUUUUGAGAGUUCAAAUCGACAAAAGAGUUUGCGACCUCGAUGUUGGUUCAGGGACCCUACUCGGUGCAGCAGCCCAGAGAGGCAGUCUGUUCGACUGUUAAACCCCUACGUGAUCUGAGUUCA
rnacentral:rRNA from 1 species